CAUCUUGCCACUCUUCCUUCACAUCCACAUUUUCCAUCCGCAAAGUGGCUUCUGUGGUUCCCAUGGUGCUCAGAGAGGAGUUGGCUGCACGGUGGUUCCCUCGAGGAUGGACUUGGGCUGGAAGGUGGAAGGCAGAGAGCACUCCUGCCGAGGGAGAUGAGAUGUGGCUGAAAGGGAAGAGAAGAAAGAGCUCCUCCCAGGCUCGUUUCAGAGGAAUUCCUUCCUGCCGCUGCCUGGUCUGUGCUCCAGCCCUGCGCCCCCGAGAGAAAUGGAGAGAAGCGAGGAGGCCUUCACAGGGAUGUUUGAUGUCCUUCUAAAGCCCUGAAGAAUUCACAUCUCUGCCUCAUCCCAGGUAAACCAAAACAGAUGCCAAAAAACUGGAGGCAAAAUGGGUGUUCUGUUCCAGUCUGGGCUCUCUCCUGUACUGGGAUGAACUGGAGAAGUUCAAAUCCUUGCUUUCACUUGCACUAACACCACAGCAGCGUGAGGAGCUCUUGGUUUGCCUUCCCUAGAAGGUUCCUAUGCUGCCAGCAAGCAAAAAUCAGACCUUUGUAGCUAUUUCCCGGUGACUGCACCUGCAACUCCUAACAAAGUCUGGCUGAGGGCUCGGGACCAGCUCUGGCCGGAGAGAGCAGAUACCCUGCUCUCAGCUGGAUGCUGAGCUUAGCAGCAGCUGAGCUGAACGGGACAAAGUCAGCCCUUAUCUUAUGUAUAUAAUUAGUGUAUAUAUAUAUAGAGCUAGG